rnacentral:rRNA from 1 species
AGCAGCCGCGGUAAUUCCAGCUCCAAUAGCGUAUAUUAAAGUUGUUGCAGUUAAAAAGCUCGUAGUUGAAUUUCGGGAUCGACGGGUCGGUCGCGCCUCUGGUGUGUACUGGCCCUGUCGGUUUCUCCCUUCUGACGAACCACGAUGUCAUUAAUUUGGUGUCGUGGGAAAUCAGGACUGUUACUUUGAAAAAAUUAGAGUGUUUAAAGCAGGCAUUCGCUUGAAUACAUUAGCAUGGAAUAAUGAAAUAGGACGUUUGAUCUUAUUUUGUUGGUUUCUAAGAUCGACGUAAUGAUUAAUAGGGAUAGUUGGGGGCAUUAGUAUUCAAUUGUCAGAGGUGAAAUUCUUGGAUUUAUUGAAGACUAACUACUGCGAAAGCAUUUGCCAAGGAUGUUUUCAUUAAUCAAGAACGAAAGUUAGGGGAUCGAAGACGAUCAGAUACCGUCGUAGUCUUAACCAUAAACUAUGCCGACUAGGGAUCGGAUGAUGUAAUUUUUAAUGACUCAUUCGGCGCCUUACG